rnacentral:pre_miRNA from 1 species
CGAUGAUGAUGAUGAUGAUGAUGAUGGCGAUGACGAUGAUGACGACGAUGAUAUCAUCGUCAUCAUCAUCAUCGUCAUCAUCAUCAUCAUCACCA